UACGUAGGGUGCGAGCGUUGUCCGGAAUUACUGGGCGUAAAGAGCUCGUAGGUGGUUUGUCGCGUUGUUCGUGAAAACUCACAGCUCAACUGUGGGCGUGCGGGCGGUACGGGCAGACUGGAGUACUGCAGGGGAGACUGGAAUUCCUGGUGUAGCGGUGGAAUGCGCAGAUAUCAGGAGGAACACCGGUGGCGAAGGCGGGUCUCUGGGCCUUACCUGACGCUGAGACGCGAAAGCGUGGGGAGCGAACCGG
rnacentral:rRNA from 1 species